GGUUGGAAAUUAGGAAGACUGCUCUGAUGAUGAAAGUGGUUAAGUAUUGGAACAUGUUACAUAGUAUCUGAAACAAUGGAAGCAGAAGAGUUCAUCUAGAGAGCCCAUAGAGGCGAAGAGGAGGGGCAGAGGACACAUCUUGAAGGAUUCUAGGAGGUGGGAUAUGGCAGGAGGAGAGCAAGAUAAGGUGAUACUACAGGAUGUAAUCAGCAAGGUGGUAGUGCAGCUAUAGUAUUUCUUCCAUUCUUACCUCAGUGUCGGCUGCCUCUAACAGCGCUGACCUAUGUUUUUCUCCACCUGCACUUCAUCUGCUUGACAACCUGCUUCAGACAAGUUGUGGUAAAACAUAGGAAGUGCUCAUUCCAGUUUAACUGAGAGAGUGCUUGUUCAAGCAAGGAAAAUGCAGCUGGUGACCUCGCUGAGAGUGGUUUUGGCUAAGUGGAGGAGACAGAAGCCUCAGUGGAGAGUUCAAGAAGAAAGUUUUAA